rnacentral:miRNA from 1 species
CUGUCGCCUGGUCGUUGUGGG